UUAAGUUAUUAAGGGCGCACGGUGGAUGCCUUGGCACUAGAAGCCGAUGAAGGACGUUACUAACGACGAUAUGCUUUGGGGAGCUGUAAGUAAGCUUUGAUCCAGAGAUUUCCGAAUGGGGAAACCCAGCAUGAGUUAUGUCAUGUUAUCGAUAUGUGAAUACAUAGCAUAUCAGAAGGCACACCCGGAGAACUGAAACAUCUUAGUACCCGGAGGAAGAGAAAGAAAAUUCGAUUCCCUUAGUAGCGGCGAGCGAAACGGGAAGAGCCCAAACCAACAAGCUUGCUUGUUGGGGUUGUAGGACACUCUAUACGGAGUUACAAAGGACGACAUUAGACGAAUCAUCUGGAAAGAUGAAUCAAAGAAGGUAAUAAUCCUGUAGUCGAAAAUGUUGUCUCUCUUGAGUGGAUCCUGAGUACGACGGAGCACGUGAAAUUCCGUCGGAAUCUGGGAGGACCAUCUCCUAAGGCUAAAUACUCUCUAGUGACCGAUAGUGAACCAGUACCGUGAGGGAAAGGUGAAAAGCACCCCGGAAGGGGAGUGAAAUAGAACCUGAAACCGUGUGCUUACAAGUAGUCAGAGCCCGUUAAUGGGUGAUGGCGUGCCUUUUGUAGAAUGAACCGGCGAGUUACGAUUUGAUGCAAGGUUAAGCAGUAAAUGUGGAGCCGUAGCGAAAGCGAGUCUGAAUAGGGCGUUUAGUAUUUGGUCGUAGACCCGAAACCAGGUGAUCUACCCUUGGUCAGGUUGAAGUUCAGGUAACACUGAAUGGAGGACCGAACCGACUUACGUUGAAAAGUGAGCGGAUGAACUGAGGGUAGCGGAGAAAUUCCAAUCGAACCUGGAGAUAGCUGGUUCUCUCCGAAAUAGCUUUAGGGCUAGCCUCAAGUGAUGAUUAUUGGAGGUAGAGCACUGUUUGGACGAGGGGCCCCUCUCGGGUUACCGAAUUCAGACAAACUCCGAAUGCCAAUUAAUUUAACUUGGGAGUCAGAACAUGGGUGAUAAGGUCCGUGUUCGAAAGGGAAACAGCCCAGACCACCAGCUAAGGUCCCAAAAUAUAUGUUAAGUGGAAAAGGAUGUGGCGUUGCCCAGACAACUAGGAUGUUGGCUUAGAAGCAGCCAUCAUUUAAAGAGUGCGUAAUAGCUCACUAGUCGAGUGACACUGCGCCGAAAAUGUACCGGGGCUAAACAUAUUACCGAAGCUGUGGAUUGUCCUUUGGACAAUGGUAGGAGAGCGUUCUAAGGGCGUUGAAGCAUGAUCGUAAGGACAUGUGGAGCGCUUAGAAGUGAGAAUGCCGGUGUGAGUAGCGAAAGACGGGUGAGAAUCCCGUCCACCGAUUGACUAAGGUUUCCAGAGGAAGGCUCGUCCGCUCUGGGUUAGUCGGGUCCUAAGCUGAGGCCGACAGGCGUAGGCGAUGGAUAACAGGUUGAUAUUCCUGUACCACCUAUAAUCGUUUUAAUCGAUGGGGGGACGCAGUAGGAUAGGCGAAGCGUGCGAUUGGAUUGCACGUCUACUCAUUAAGGCUGAGCUGUGAUGGGGAGAAGACAUUGUGUCUUCGAGUCGUUGAUUUCACACUGCCGAGAAAAGCCUCUAGAUAGAAAAUAGGUGCCCGUACCGCAAACCGACACAGGUAGUCAAGAUGAGAAUUCUAAGGUGAGCGAGCGAACUCUCGUUAAGGAACUCGGCAAAAUGACCCCGUAACUUCGGGAGAAGGGGUGCUCUUUAGGGUUAACGCCCAGAAGAGCCGCAGUGAAUAGGCCCAAGCGACUGUUUAUCAAAAACACAGGUCUCUGCUAAACCGUAAGGUGAUGUAUAGGGGCUGACGCCUGCCCGGUGCUGGAAGGUUAAGAGGAGUGGUUAGCUUCUGCGAAGCUACGAAUCGAAGCCCCAGUAAACGGCGGCCGUAACUAUAACGGUCCUAAGGUAGCGAAAUUCCUUGUCGGGUAAGUUCCGACCCGCACGAAAGGCGUAACGAUUUGGGCACUGUCUCAACGAGAGACUCGGUGAAAUCAUAGUACCUGUGAAGAUGCAGGUUACCCGCGACAGGACGGAAAGACCCCGUGGAGCUUUACUGUAGCCUGAUAUUGAAAUUCGGCACAGCUUGUACAGGAUAGGUAGGAGCCUUUGAAACGUGAGCGCUAGCUUACGUGGAGGCGCUGGUGGGAUACUACCCUAGCUGUGUUGGCUUUCUAACCCGCACCACUUAUCGUGGUGGGAGACAGUGUCAGGCGGGCAGUUUGACUGGGGCGGUCGCCUCCUAAAAGGUAACGGAGGCGCUCAAAGGUUCCCUCAGAAUGGUUGGAAAUCAUUCAUAGAGUGUAAAGGCAUAAGGGAGCUUGACUGCGAGACCUACAAGUCGAGCAGGGUCGAAAGACGGACUUAGUGAUCCGGUGGUUCCGCAUGGAAGGGCCAUCGCUCAACGGAUAAAAGCUACCCCGGGGAUAACAGGCUUAUCUCCCCCAAGAGUUCACAUCGACGGGGAGGUUUGGCACCUCGAUGUCGGCUCAUCGCAUCCUGGGGCUGUAGUCGGUCCCAAGGGUUGGGCUGUUCGCCCAUUAAAGCGGUACGCGAGCUGGGUUCAGAACGUCGUGAGACAGUUCGGUCCCUAUCCGUCGUGGGCGUAGGAAAUUUGAGAGGAGCUGUCCUUAGUACGAGAGGACCGGGAUGGA
rnacentral:rRNA from 1 species